rnacentral:rRNA from 1 species
AGAGUUUGAUCCUGGCUCAGGACGAACGCUGGCGGCGUGCUUAACACAUGCAAGUCGAACGGAAAGGCUCCAGCUUGCUGGAGUACUCGAGUGGCGAACGGGUGAGUAACACGUGGGUAAUCUGCCCUGCACUCUGGGAUAAGCCUGGGAAACUGGGUCUAAUACUGGAUAUGACCUUUCUCCUUAUGGGGUUUGGUGGAAAGUUUUUCGGUGUAGGAUGAGCCCGCGGCCUAUCAGCUUGUUGGUGGGGUGAUGGCCUACCAAGGCGACGACGGGUAGCCGGCCUGAGAGGGUGAUCGGCCACAUUGGGACUGAGAUACGGCCCAGACUCCUACGGGAGGCAGCAGUGGGGAAUAUUGCACAAUGGGCGGAAGCCUGAUGCAGCGACGCCGCGUGAGGGAUGACGGCCUUCGGGUUGUAAACCUCUUUCAGCAGGGACGAAGCGUAAGUGACGGUACCUGCAGAAGAAGCACCGGCUAACUACGUG